rnacentral:rRNA from 1 species
GUAGAACAUCCGAACAUAACUGGUAGCUUAUGGGUUUGUCCGGCGCGUCCAUGAGCAUGUGUGUACCCGUCCUCGGAGUUCGAUACCGGCCGCUCGAGCGGGCACGGUCAAUAGCUAGAGAGCGGGUGCGGGGUAUCGGCGGAGCGGCGGCGGGGUCACGUACGGUUCGGCGCGGCCGGACGGUGGCGGGACGAGGAAUCAGUGAGGCGCGCGUCCAAGGAACAGCACCGGCGCAGCGCGGCCGGGCGCAAAGGUGGCAACCGGCGCGGCGCAGGUCGAACGAUAGCACCAGCGCGGCACGGGCGCGGGACGGCACCAGUACGGCGCGGGCGAGGUACAAUACCAGCACAGCACGAGCGAGGGACGGGCGGUCCGGGCUGAGCAACAGCACCGGCGCGGUUCGAGGGACGGGCGGUCCGGGCUGAGCAACAGCACCGGCGCGGUUCGAGGGACGGGACCGGUACGGGCCGAGGGACGGCACCAGCGCGGCGCGGGCGAGUGACAGCACCGGCGCGGCGUGCCCGCGCGCGAAAGCGGUAGUCAGCGCGGUGCGAGUCGAGUGACAGUACCGACGUGGUUCGAGGUACGGGACCGACCACGCGGCGCCCACACUCCUCCUUCCCCUGCUCCCCUAUUACAGAAAAAAUCGUCGCUUGCUCCCUUAAUUUGUGUUAUUCGCAGCGCAAUUCCUGCGAGUAAGCGCACCAUGUGGACAGGCUAAAAUGACACGUACAAAAUGACAUGGCUUGCUUUGUUCUGAACAAGUACUAGCGAGCUGACCCAUCGCCCGGCGAAUUAGGGGGGUGCGAGUCGCGGGGAGAGGAAGGUGAGGGUGUCGAUCCCAAUCGCAGCGGCGACGGGAGGGGCGCGAGCGCGGAUCUCGAAGGCGCGGCGGUACAGGGGAGCGCGUUCGGCCGGAGUGGCGUCUUCUCCCAGCAGGUACCUCGGACAUAGGGGCAGCAGCUGGAACGCGUGUACUUUCCAGCGACGACGACCAGCACCAGUGGGUCCAACUGUCUCGCGGGUGACGGGACGUCGAGUAGUACCUCGGAACUUGAGUUCCAAUCGCUGCUUCUACCCGCAGGGAUGACCACCGGACGCCUCUUCAUGGGCUACCACUACCACCUGCACCACCUGCUCCUUGUACAGCUCUAGCUCCCACAGUUCCCGAUGAUUACGUCUCCUCGUUUGACCUUUAAGGUGGACGUAUAAAAUCCAUUAAAUAUAGUACAAAAAUUUGGGAAACACACGUAUACCAUCCGUGCUUGAACAGGGACGUCGAGUACUAUUCUCAUCCUGGAAUUUAAGGGAUCUUACUCAAGAAUAUCGGAAAACAGUAAGAUCACACAUAAAAGUUACCUUUAUUAGGUUCCCGUUAGAAUCGAAUAAGCAACUAGACAAGACUUGGUACCAAGUAUGUAUAUAACAACGUCAACGGUUAAUCUUGUCACACUAUAUGUUGUUAAGCUCAAGGUGUAGACAAAUUUCCUGAAGACUAGAGUAGAGUGGAAGAACCGUCUCACAAGUUAAUUUUAGUAUAAAUAAUGACCCAACCUCGUCUACCUAACUAAAGAUGUACGUUUCAUUGCGUAGUCCAACUCAACUUGCACACCAUGAAACGUGGAAACCAAUAUAUAUAGAGUAAUCAUACUGAUAAAUAAUCGUACUACCAAUACUAUCUUACAACAUUAUGUUGUUCCUUGUGUUAAUGGAUAUGAAUUGAUUUACUAUUUAGUGAUUGGGAAAAAUGAUCUCAAACGUAAUCCGGUUAGCUGUACGACGAUAAUCUAGGUUCAUGUGAGAUGUUGAGUACUCAUAAAGAAAUCAUAGAGUGAAGAUUAUACCACAGACGAGACAAGCUCCAAUACACAGGAGUGAUCGCCAUCGUCGUGGAAACGGUAGCAGGAAGAGAAGAUGUAAGUGAAAAAAAUUAGGGCACAACAAAUCUAUUUUAAACCACCAAAUCUACUUUAAAAUAGCCUCCCAAAGGGUUAGUAAUUAAAACACCACGAUUAAACAAGAAUUAAAGAAUACAGAGAUCCACAGGCGUAAAAGAGAACAUUUGGAGAAAAUGAACGGAUAGAGGGAUGGCCAUAUGUACAGAAAUUACCUAUCAAAUAAUAUGUCUCAAAAGAAAGUAUUAAAAAUUUUUUUAAGAGCUACUUACUGCCCAUCACAGGAUGAUCUUAUAACCCUUUUACUUUUAGCUGAGACCAAUAAGUGAAUAAGAUCGUACUAGUGAUAGUGUGACUCAAAAAAACGUACGACACUGUGGUUAUAUGAACAUUAGAAUCAUGACCCAAGAAGAUUUCCUACUAAAAGAAGAGUAUGAUGUCGACCUUACUAGUUUUAUACACUAGAGCUUCAGUGACAAGAAGUACGAAUGAAUAGUAAUAUAACAACAGUAACCUAUAAUAUAUCUCUGGUUCUGACGUAUACCUUCAGUAAAAUAUUCGAAAUCUCAAGGUCGUUGCUCUUUCUUUUAAACGCUAUAGUACAAAUCAUCCAGAUAUCAAAAGAAUGAGGAUAUAACCCACAACGUAUUACUCGAUUAACUAUAACCUGUAAUACAUCUCAGAAUUAAUAGAAGUAACGUCAUAGUGUAAUAAACUGAGACAACUAAGUAACACGAACGGUAAUCAUAACACUUUUGUAGACGGAAGAAACGUCAUUAAAACUUCUAUAUAAAAUACACCCAGUAAAAUAUUUGAUACACUUCCUACUUCGUGCGUAACAGGGUCUGUAGGGACUGACCAAGCAGCUUUUUCUAGUCGAGAAGUGGUCAUAUUUCAUUAAGCUCAACGCUAGAGUUCUUUUCCUGUUAUGGGUCAACCUAAGUAAGUGAAGCCGUCAAAAAGUCCAGAAAACACAUCACCGCAUGACAACAACCAUUGGAACGUAUCAAUAAACGCAAAGUUCACUGUUAAGUUUACGAUUGUUACUAACCACACCCCGAGCCACCAUGUCAAGGGACUGGAAGGUCAGUCUACAAGGUGCUCUACCAGGUUACCACCUUAUACUCUUCUCUUAACGUAGUCCUCUAUAACUUCUACCACUAUCGAAGGUCCAAUAACGUAACCUGGACUAGUUACGAAAAGAAUGUACUAGAGGAAGUAUAAACCAAGACCUACGUACCAAAGGUAGAUGGGAACUAUCACGCGUGUACGUGUGGUCCUGACUUUUAGCAGUUACUUGUAACAUUUAGCCGACGGCGCGCAACCAUCACGGGGGAGAAGAUUUCUGUGACGCCGUAUCAGCGCAGCUGGAGUCGCCGUCCGCGUUACUGACCAACGUGAUACCGCUCGUCCUUGAGAGUUAACUGUUCGCCGGUCACAAGGUCAAGGUGUGGGGGGAGCUCGACCGUUUCUACUGCCGCUCGCAAUCGAGCGCCCCCGUCGUAUCCCGUUACCCCUACAACAUUGCGGGGCCUACGUUGAAAGGUAUAAGCAUUGAGGUUGAGAACGGAAAAGGCCUCUACACAAUACAAUAAAAGGAGGCACCAACCCAAAAACAGACAACAAAACGAAAAACAAGAACAAUACGUAGAGCAGAAUACAGU